GCCUUAGAAUAAAAACAUUUCUUCAAUUUUUUAACUUUUUUUUUUUGUAUAAUAUAUGUAGAGAGCUUUCUUUAGUCCACAUAAAGGGGGCAGUAUGGUUCAAUUAGCUGCUGACUCAUUCACACAAAUGCUAAGGUUUUGAGAAUUAUUAGGAGGAAAAACCUUAGUAACUGAGUGAAUGAUGCGGUAGACUGACUGAAUCUUAAGCUUUUUUUGCUUGGACUGAAGGGAGCUCCCUCUUCAUUAAUAGAAGAUGGAAUACUGGAUUUCUCUAAGAGGAAGCUCUAUCACAACUAUAUAUACAUCUUUUUGUCCUCCUUGUAAGCAAAUACUAAAUAAAUGAGAAAUAUUAGGGUUUGUUUGUUUGAAAGGUUGUGAGUAUUUUAAAAAAGUAUUUUUUUUUUGUUUUUCGAAGUUAAAAA